CACUCAAAGGGGGUGUCCGUGCACCGAGGCUGGACGAGGGGGAGCAGGCCGAGGUGCACAUUUUCGGGGACAACAACAUAAUCAGGGUACAGGCAAUAGGAUUAAAGAGCAGGAAUGCAAAGAGAAUGGUACUUGGAUUGAUGUCGGGCAACCUGGUUACCAUCUCAUAAGGCUGUGAUCACUUGUCCGAGAUAGGCACAGCACUCAACUGCCUGAGGGAGAAACUGAGAGAAGGAGAGAGUUCUGAAGACUGAGAAAGAAUGGUGGUCUUCAGUUUGUUCUUCACGUAGCAGAGACCCAUGCCUCUUGAAGCAUUGUGGGGAGAACUUGUAGAGGAAGGACUGGAUGGUGUACAUAGAGAGGCUCUACAUGAGACUCUAGGCUUUCAGUCCUGGCAGAGAAUUCUGUGCCAACCUUGGCAGAAAUCAGCAGAGCCGUCUGAACUUACAGGAGCAUGAGAGAUUGGACAAUGUGCACAUGGGUGAAGUCUGCUAUGGGGUGAAGACAAGAAGGAUUGAUCUAAACAACAUAA